UUUAACCUUUUGAAUACUGUUCUCUUCCGCAGAAACCCUAUCUAUCUCGCUCUCCCUUAGGCACAGAAGAAACCAGCAGCCCCAACUCAAGACACAUACACUCAGCUUUCUCUCUCAAACCGAAAUUUCAUUUCUUACCCAAAUUCAUUCUACAGAGCAAGAGAGCCAAACAUGUCGAUCGAAAUACCCAAAGGGCUCCCCUUUUCAGUUGAUACAUGGAGUUCUUCUUCAAAGAGAAAGAGGCACCAUUUCUUAACUCACGCCCACAAAGACCACUCCACUGGGAUUUCCUCCCACUUUUCUUACCCGAUUUACUCAACCCAACUCACCAAAACCGUCCUUCAACACUACCUCAAGCUUGAUGAAUCUUUGUUUGUGGGCAUUAAAGUUGGGCAAUCUGUAGCUAUUGAUGAACCGGAUGGAGCCUUCACUGAUACGGCUUUCGAUGCCAAUCAAUGUCCUGUCCUUGACCAUUCUUUAGCUGAGGUUAGAAGUUGCUCCGAUUUUGGUCAAAUUAAAAACCCAAGCUUAAGCCCUUCGAUUUUGGACCCAGAAGCAAAAGCACUCUCAGACACUGAGACGAAGCAAUGGAGGAUAAAACUGAGUCUGUUUCAUUCAACAAGAGAAGAGCAGAGGCUCGUAUAAAUUUUUAUGCAUGUUGUUGGUGCAAAUAAAAGGUGGAGUGGUGGAUGUGGAGGAAGGCAAUAGACGUUUUGUUUCUUUCUCAAAAUCGAUCAUCUGUGUAACAGGUAAGUCUUGUUACACUUGCAUCUUCACUGAAAAUUUAGUGCACCAUAUAUAUUGUAGUCAGUGAAGCCCUUGUCAGUGGAUCAAAUAAAGGCAGUCUUUACUGAGGAGCAUACAUAAGCCAAGGACGAGACCUAUGACACAUACCUUCUACCACCUAGUGAAGAUCCAGAAUCUUGCCAAUCAUAUCUUAGGAUGCAGGAUAAAGAUGGGAAAUAUAUGCUCUACGAAGCUGGUUAGCUUAAGUAGAAAGAAACAAAUGGUGCACUUGUUUUUCUAUAGUGGUACCCUUAUAAGCUUGGACAUGCAUGUUGCAGUCACAGUGGAAACUGCCAAUAUGUUAUAAUGGACCACAAAUAAUGAUAGAGGGAUUGAUCGGACUAGUGCAUUCUACUAAAGCCUCUUCAAGAACCAGAGAAGAUGACCAAUAUUAUUCUUCAAGCUCUGAAAAUUACUGGACAAAGAGGCAUUAUCAACAAAGGUUGGGGUUGGUAAUUUACAAUCAAAUGAUUCUAUGUACUUAGUGGACAAUUGCCCCCAUGAUGACUCUUCCUCGGAUGCUCUGUUGUGGUUAGGAACGUUACCAUAGCCUGACUCCCAUGUAUUACUGCGGUGCAGCUGUUGGUCUAUGAUAUCACAAGCAUGGAGUCAUUUGUUUUUAGCAAGCUAAGAAGUGGGUUUUUGAAUUGCAAAGACAAGCAAAUCCAACUUUAAUAAUGUUCUUGGCUGGAAACAAGGCUGACUUGGAAGAGAAGAGAAAAGUAGGGACUGAGAAAAGUAGUCCUCUCUUAGGAAGCAGAGAUCUAUCCGGGCAGAAAUGGUUAGGAAGUAGAGACAAUACGUAGUCUGCAGAAGGCAAGUAGAAAACAAGUAGUGAAGUCUUUGACCAUUGCGCAAUAGAUACACUGUUGAUUUCUCGUGGGACAAGUACACUCUUCAUGAAGGACCUUUUGAGGAGGUUGGAGCAACGUGCUAAAACUUUUAUCAAUGGGGUAGAUUAGUUUAUGAUGAUGUUAACAAACUAUAUUUCAUGGUUUGAUUAUGACUUUCAUCAUUGGGAUAUAUGAUAAUACAUUGGAAGUUAUGUCUUUUUAAAUAAUAUCAAACAUUAAUAGAAAGUUGCCAACAACUAUGG